ACGUGCAAUGAAAUACGCUCCCUAUUGGCGAGGGGGGCAUCACCAUGGACGGUGAACAAAAAUCGAAAACUGUCAUGGAGUUGCUCUCUUAAUCUUAGGGUGCCUUAUCAUCCGACAACGUU
rnacentral:pre_miRNA from 14 species